rnacentral:rRNA from 1 species
CCUACGGGUGGCAGCAGUCGAGAAUCAUUCACAAUGGGGGAAACCCUGAUGGUGCGACGCCGCGUGGGGGAAUGAAGGUCUUCGGAUUGUAAACCCCUGUCAUGUGGGAGCAAAUUAAAAAGAUCGUACCCCAAGAGGAAGAGACGGCUAACUCUGUGCCAGCAGCCGCGGUAAUACAGAGGUCUCAAGCGUUGUUCGGAAUCACUGGGCGUAAAGCGUGCGUAGGCUGUUUCGUAAGUCGUGUGUGAAAGGCGCGGGCUCAACCCGCGGACGGCACAUGAUACUGCGAGACUAGAGUAAUGGAGGGGGAACCGGAAUUCUCGGUGUAGCAGUGAAAUGCGUAGAUAUCGAGAGGAACACACGUGGCGAAGGCGGGUUCCUGGACAUUAACUGACGCUGAGGCACGAAGGCCAGGGGAGCGAAAGGGAUUAGAUACCCCUGUAGUC